rnacentral:tRNA from 1 species
CGGAGUGUAGCGCAGCCUGGAUUAGCGCACACCCUUGGGGUGGGUGAGGUCGCAGGUUCGAAUCCUGUCACUCCGA